rnacentral:tRNA from 1 species
GCUGGAAUGGUCUAGUUGGUUAUGACGACUGCCUAACACGCAGUAGGUCCCGAGAUCGACUAACGGUUCCAGUA